rnacentral:rRNA from 1 species
UACAGAGGGGUGCAAGCGUUGCUCGGAAUCACUGGGCGUAAAGGGCGCGUAGGCGGAUCUUUAAGUCGGGGGUGAAAGCCUGAGGCUCAACCUCAGAAUUGCCUUCGAUACUGGAGAUCUUGAGACCGGAAGAGGUAAGUGGAACUGCGAGUGUAGAGGUGAAAUUCGUAGAUAUUCGCAAGAACACCAGUGGCGAAGGCGGCUUACUGGUCCGGUUCUGACGCUGAGGCGCGAAAGCGUGGGGAGCAAACAGG